rnacentral:rRNA from 1 species
CAGCAGUGGGGAAUUUUGGACAAUGGGCGAAAGCCUGAUCCAGCCAUGCCGCGUGCAGGAUGAAGGCCUUCGGGUUGUAAACUGCUUUUGUACGGAACGAAAAGACUCUGGUUAAUACCUGGGGUCCAUGACGGUACCGUAAGAAUAAGCACCGGCUAACUACGUGCCAGCAGCCGCGGUAAUACGUAGGGUGCAAGCGUUAAUCGGAAUUACUGGGCGUAAAGCGUGCGCAGGCGGUUAUAUAAGACAGAUGUGAAAUCCCCGGGCUCAACCUGGGAACUGCAUUUGUGACUGUAUAGCUAGAGUACGGCAGAGGGGGAUGGAAUUCCGCGUGUAGCAGUGAAAUGCGUAGAUAUGCGGAGGAACACCGAUGGCGAAGGCAAUCCCCUGGGCCUGUACUGACGCUCAUGCACGAAAGCGUGGGGAGCAAACAGGAUUAGAUACCCUGGUAGUCCACGCCCUAAACGAUGUCAACUGGUUGUUGGGUCUUCACUGACUCAGUAACGAAGCUAACGCG